UACGGGGGGGGGCAAGCGUUUGUUCGGAAUUACUGGGCGUAAAGGGCUCGUAGGUGGCCAACUAAGUCAGACGUGAAAUCCCUCGGCUUAACCGGGGAACUGCGUCUGAUACUGGAUGGCUCGAGUUUGGGAGAGGGAUGCGGAAUUCCAGGUGUAGCGGUGAAAUGCGUAGAUAUCUGGAGGAACACCGGUGGCGAAGGCGGCAUCCUGGACCAACACUGACGCUGAUGAGCGAAAGCCAGGGGAGCAAACGGGG
rnacentral:rRNA from 1 species